rnacentral:misc_RNA from 1 species
UCUCCGUAGGUGAACCUGCGGAGGGAUCACUACAGGCUUGCAAAAGCUCUGACACCACUGUUUAUCUACCUGAAUCCGCUUCGGCGGGCGGCCCAGGGCGGGGCCGUAGCCGCAAGGCGCCGGCCGAAGACCCCUAAACUCUGCCGUCUUGAGAAUCUCUGAGUAAUUAUAUUAAACAAAAACAACUUUCAACAACGGAUCUCUUGGCUCUG